ACAUACAUAUAAACUAACUAAGUUAUUCUUUACUCCCUCUGAGUGAAAUAUCAAUGAGUAAGAUGCAAUUCAAGACCGAAGGCUUUGGAACGGUUCUCUGUGAUCCAAGUUUAGUUUGACCAUAGAUUGUAUCAUCUUUUCCCCUAAGCUUGUUCUUGGCUGUUGUUGAUUUUCUAAGGACUUAACAACACUGCGAUGGAAUUUGGAAGGUUUAUAUAUAGGUGAUUAUUGCUGCGUGCCAUUGAUUUUACUAGGAAUGGGAAAGUCUGUUGGUGUAUGUUUUUGGUCAACAGAAGUAUCUUAUUUGCACCUUUACUGAUUUGUUUUUGGUAUGUAGAUUAACCUUAUUUCUAGGAUGGUUAGAAUGUGCUUCAUUGGAUUUGAGAAGUGGAAUACAAAAUUUCCCCUAAGGCACUUUGGAUAUGCAUUUUGUCACUAUACACACUAUUUGUUAGGAUUAGCAAUCAGAAUCUUGUCGUUCUCUCCAGCCUAAUCAGAUGGGAAAACCUCUUUAAGGUUCCUAUAUGGUUCCCAGAUCCCUGGUUACAUAUAUAUCUAGUUAAGUAAAGCUCACGUCUUCAGUGAGCAAAGUCCUCUAUGCAGCAUGAACCAGGAAAGAUGGAAAAACUGAAGGUGGUGAGCAGCUGAAAGAUGAAAGGGCAAACACUGUACUCCAGCUUCUUGGAUGAGGAGUUAUUGCUGCUUUUACAAAAACUCUCCAGCAUGUGUGGUAAGUGUAUCAGGUACAAUAAGUUCCCUCUCCUGGUUUUUCUUAAAUUUAAGUCUGCAAAUGCUCUAUGAUUCAGAAAUCAGUUUUGAGUUUGGUAAUCAAGCAAAAAUCUCAUCAUUAAAAAAAUAUCUUUACGUGCAACUAUUGUGUUUUCUCGUUUAUUAUCACUUGCGAGGCUCUGUCACGUUUCAUAAUUUGAGCUUGCUGGGGAAAAUGUUUUGGGAGACGAAUUUACCACAAGUAAACAUCUGAGACUGUCCUCUCAUAUAUUUGGAGUCUUUAUGAAUCAGUAUCUUGCUAGAACAGUUUCAGUCUGAUUAGAAUCAGCACAGCUAAAUGGUGAUAUGUUGUGCUUAUGUUCAUUUUGUGUUGCUGAGACAUGAUUGAUUAUCUUGUUACUUUCCUGCUGCGGUCACAGAGAACUAGUUUAUCUAUUUUGUCUAAUUGGUUUUAUUGUGCUAGAACUAGAACUGUCAACCGGCCGUUCAAACGAGGAAUUCGGUCGGGCCGGUUUUGACAGCUCUAGCCAGAACAUAUCUACAGUGCAGAUUGAGCAGGGAAUUAGACAGUAACAAAGCAAUUUCAUCAUGUUCUAUGCUAUGAUUCAUUUUGGUGUAUUACUAUGUAGUUAAAAGAAUUUGUAUACAUGUAUAAAUGUAAGAACAAAAUAAUUUGAAUUAGAUUUCUUUCUUCUUA